AAUGAACGCUGGCGGCAGGCCUAACACAUGCAAGUCGAACGGAUCCUUCGGGAUUAGUGGCGGACGGGUGAGUAACGCGUGGGAACAUACCCAAAGGUACGGAAUAGCCUCGGGAAACUGGGAGUAAUACCGUAUGUGCUCGAAAGAGGAAAGAUUUAUCGCCUUUGGAUUGGCCCGCGUUGGAUUAGGUAGUUGGUGGGGUAAUGGCCUACCAAGCCGACGAUCCAUAGCUGGUUUGAGAGGAUGAUCAGCCACACUGGGACUGAGACCCGGCCCAGACUCCUACUGGAGGCAGGAGUGGGGAAUCUGAGACAAUAGGGGAAACCCUGAUCUAGCCAUACCGCGUGAUCGAUGAAGGCCUUAGGGUUGUAAAGAUCUUUCAGGUGGGAAGAUAAUGACGGUACCACCAGAAGAAGCCCCGGCUAACUCCGCGCCAGCAGCCGCCAGUAA
rnacentral:rRNA from 1 species